GCCGGGGUGGCCGAGCGGUUCAAGGCACUACAGUCUGGAACCGAGCGACCGGUACGGUCGCAGGUUCGAAUCCUGCCUCGGGCA